GUGGAUCAGAAACCCAGUGACAAAACUCGGGUCUGCAUCUGCCAUUUUCCAGUGGGAAAGAGAAAUGGCCCUAUAUUUAUCAGAAACAGUAGCUAGCUCAUCCACCAUGGCAGAAGAGGAAGAUCCAGACUGUUGAUUGGGAAACAAGAACAAACAAUGAGGCAUGAGGAUUGGGUGUUGAGGGAUCACUUGUCACAAUGUUCAAGGAGUGCAUCCCUCGGGCCAUCCGGUGCAUGGACAUCCUGUGCCAGUGUGAUUGGAGCACAAGCGUCCAGUUGUAGAGACUACAGCAGAUCGAGCCGGUGGACGGACAGACAUGACACGUGAAAUAUGGAACAUCAGGCUCACUCCACAAGAAGCAGUGCAUGAUCAACACUACCCUCAGCAAGGAGAUCUGAUGGAAGUGAUCUCUCUCUUUCACUCUGGGGCUAAGACAUCAUCUAAACAUCACAGAUAUAAAUUCCCACUGUGCAUUACUUUAGUUGGCUGCUUUGAUGAAGACUUCUAUGCAAUAUAACCUAUUCUAGAAGCCUAGUGUGUGUAUGAUUUCUAUUCAUUGUUCACUUGUUUUUCAACAAUGUCAGAUACAGGCAGGGAUGACUGGGGCCUUCAGCAAGUAAAACACAUGGGACCAUUGGAAAAAACAGGUACUGACAGGAGGAGCAAUAUGAGUCUGUCAGAGGUCAUCACCCUGGAUGGGGAUGGUGAUGGUGUCACGGCUUUCGUCAGAAGAAGAAGAGGAGUCAUUGGACCAAAAUGCAGC